rnacentral:rRNA from 1 species
UACGUAGGGGGCAAGCGUUGUCCGGAAUCAUUGGGCGUAAAGCGCGUGUAGGCGGCUCGGUAAGUCUGCUCUGAAAGUCCAAGGCUCAACCUUGGGAUGCGGGUGGAUACUGCCGGGCUCGAGUCCGGAAGAGGCGAGUGGAAUUCCUGGUGUAGCGGUGAAAUGCGCAGAUAUCAGGAGGAACACCAAUUGCGAAGGCAGCUCGCUGGGACGUUACUGACGCUGAGACGCGAAAGCGUGGGGAGCAAACAGG